rnacentral:rRNA from 1 species
UAGUCAUAUGCUUGUCUCAAAGAUUAAGCCAUGCACGUCUAAGCACAAGCCGAUUAAUGGUGAAGCCGCGAAUGGCUCAUUACAACAGCCAUAGUUUCUUAGAUCUUACUUUUCUACUUGGAUAACUGUGGUAAUUCUAGAGCUAAUACACGCAAACAAGCUCAGACCUUACGGAAUGAGCGCAUUUAUUAGAACAAAAACCAAUCGGGCUUCGGUCCGUCAUUUGGUGAAUCUGAAUAACUUUGCUGAUCGCACGGUCUUCGUACCGGCGACAUAUCUUUCAAAUGUCUGCCUUAUCAACUUUCGAUGGUAGUUUAUGCGCCUACCAUGGUUGUAACGGGUAACGGAGAAUAAGGGUUCGACUCCGGAGAGGGAGCCUGAGAAACGGCUACCACAUCCAAGGAAGGCAGCAGGCACGCAAAUUACCCACUCCCGGCACGGGGAGGUAGUGACGAAAAAUAACGAGACGGCUCGCUAUGCGGUCCGUCAUCGGAAUGGGUACAAUUUAAAUCCUUUAACGAGGAUCUAUU